rnacentral:piRNA from 1 species
UUAGCAAACUGCAGGGUGGGGUGCAU